ensembl:snRNA U6 U6 spliceosomal RNA
GUGGUCAGCUCAGCAGCACAUGUACUAAAAUUAGAACAAUAUGGAAAAGGUUAGCACGGCCCCCUGCAUGAGGAUGACGCACAAAUUCAUGAAGCACUCUGUUUUUUU